ensembl:lncRNA T-cell surface protein tactile-like
CUCACGCUGUCUUUAACCUCAGUUAGAAGAUCACAAACAUGGCUGUGAGUGCAACGGGAACCCUCUUCUCCUUCCUGCUUUUUGCAUCUGUUUUCCAAGGAUGCCACAAUGCUCAUUACAAACAGGAAGCAGUAGAGGGCCAGAAUAUUACCUUACCCUGCUUUGUGAAACAACAACACCCUAAUCUUCAGAUUUACAAUAUUGAGUGGUUAAAGAAUGGUUUGGAAAACAAGAUGGCACUGUACAGUCAAGGAAACGAAGACAACCUUUUUUGGAAAAAUGUGACAAUGGACAUCAUAAAGGAUGGCGGAAAAGUGGCUGGAUCUCAUCUACAUCUUCAUGGAGUAACAGAAUGGGACAGUGGGCUCUAUAAAUGUUAUAUUUCAACAUUUCCUUUUGGUACUUUGACGAGUGAAACAGAACUGACAGUCAAAGACAGCAGUAUCAUCUGCAAUGUGACUGGUCCUGUUGUUAAACUCUAUCAAGGUGAAAAUAUGACCAUUGAAUGUAACGCGUCACUUUCUAACACACAGUAUAGUUGGACUAAGAACGGGACGGUGUUAUCGGAAAAUGAAUUUCUGAAGCUCGAGCAGGUGACGGCUGCGAAUGCUGGGGUCUAUGCAUUUCAUGUCACAGGAUACCACAAUCUGACGGAAGAGUUGGUCGUGACGGUGCAGCAAGUAACCACGAAUCCGGUGACAUCUCAGGCUGUGACCAAUACGACAGAAAGUAGUCCGGCCACGUCACCGACCUCCAGGCCCUCCACCCCGGAAAUAAACACAAGUGUUAGUGCUAGAAAUGAAAGCAGGAUCACUGCAACAUUAACCAGCGUAGAACGACUAAUCUCACCGACAAAUUCUUCACAAUCCAGUGUUACAUCCUUCCCAUUAACGGACUCUAACACUUCUCACUUACUCAGCCCGACUAAAUCCUAUCAUGGUGCUACAGUGGAUAGAUCGACUCAUGAAAGUGAAUUACAUUCUUCAACACAAGAUCACAGUGUUCCAUUGAGUCCAGAGUGGGCGGUGACCUCACAGGGCACCACAGGCGAUCAUACAAAACCAGACGUGACGCAGACUCUGAGCACCAGAGGCAGAACGCCAUUCAUCAAGGAUGAAGUACGAGUCAACGAGGACAAAGAUUCUGGGCAGAGUCGUCAGUUGCUUGCAUUGAUCCUUAUUCCAGUGUUGUUACUCGUGGCUGUGGUUGGAUUUUUCUGCAGGAGACGGAUUAAAAAGAAACGAAUGGAUAAGCCCCCUCCUUUCAAACCCCCACCUCCUCCAGUCAAGUAUACGGGUGCAAGAUACACCAAUUUGUCUCUCCAUGAUGGACCACAGAGGACGAACCUUUAAGGAGCACAAAGUGCAAUUAAACUGUUCCAGUGUUAUAUAUACUCUGACAACUGUUGGGGUAUUCAUUUGGGUUUUUAUUUCCCCCAAAAAAUACCAAAAAUAAUUUGGACUUUCAUAUGUUGUUUUUAAUCCAAGUAGCCGUUUCUCGCUAUAUAUGGCUGCCCUGUACACAACGCUGUUAGUAGAUGCUACAGUCUAUUGCACUUCACCAUUUAAACACAUUAUACUUUCACAAUUUCAGCCUUUCUUUAAAAUCAAACAUCGUAAGUAAUCCAACCAAACAAUAUCAGUCAUAACACCUUAAAAAUAAAAAUAAAUAUGACAUCUUAGGGCUGGGCA